GCCAUCGUCGCAUAACUCGGUAUUGCGCUGGCCUUGAGAGCCAGUUCCUCCGGGAACUCCCGGUUCAAAACGACGAUUUCGCUCGUCGAUGACGAGGGGCGGCGUAAAGCCACCCAAAAAGAAUCGAACUGAAAGUCCGGGCGAUGGCG
rnacentral:tRNA from 1 species